UUCCUCCCGGGGAAGAUGUAAACAUGGAGCCACGAUGCUUCCGUCCUCUCUUGAAUACAUUUCACUUGAUCGCCUUAAGGUGACGCUUAUUGAUCACACCUUUCUGUUCUUUGAGAGCUGUUUCAUGGACUCAUUUUUAUUUUGAGUCGACUUUUUACGGCUUCUCAUUGUUAAUAACCUUUGCUCCAGUUCUUGUUACCGACCUGUGGAAACGUCAGCUGGAAGAUGGAGCCCUUCCCGUCUACCACUGUUAAUGGAAGGAAACGAAAGAUCAUCGAUUCUGUGGCGAGGAAACGGGCCAAGUUAGAGGGCGAAGCGACUGGCGAUGACCAGAUGUCGAAAUCCGGGCCAAGGAUCACAGUGGCGCCUGAACAGCUGCAGAGCGCCAUCACUGCCCAGGAGCUGAUGGAGCUGCUGCACUAUGCUGCGCUCGGUAAAGGUGUAGGAAUCAAACAGCCCAGUUGGUGUCGGCUGCACCGGCAGAGGAAGCUGACGGGAGUCAACGUGGUGGUGGUGGAAGGUCUGACUCAGAGCGACUUCACCAAACACUACCUGGCUAUGAAACACCUCAGGAGCAGCUACACCACGAGGGUGGCCUUCCGCCCGGGGGCCGACAGUCUGCUGAGCCAAAUCUUCAGCAGUGAAGUCACCAGGCUAAACUGCUGUCGAAAAGACGGGCAGCUGGGAAAGUUACCAAAAGCGCUGCAGAUUCAUCCGGUCAUCAUGAAGUACGGGAUAAAGACCAGAGGGCUGACGGCGUAUGUGCUGUCAGAGGAAGAGAUGGUCCGGAGACACUUCCCAGUCAAAGGGACGCCAGGAUCUGAGGACUAUGUGAGCACCAACAGCAGCGCAGCCGUCACAGACGAAAGUCCUCUGUACGGCCUGGACUGUGAAAUGUGUCUGACACAGAAGGGGAUGGAGCUGACCAGAGUGUCCCUGGUGGACGCCCGAGGAACGUGUCUGAUGGACCAACUGGUGAAGCCCAACAACCGCAUCAUCAGCUACCACACUCAGUUCUCCGGCAUCACGGCAGCCAUGUUGCGUCCGGUCACAACCAGGCUGAGGGACGUCCAGGUCAAACUGAAGUCGCUGUUGCCUGAGGACGCCGUGCUGGUGGGACACUCGCUCGACAACGACCUCAGGGCUCUGAAGAUGAUCCACCGCCAUGUGCUGGACACCUCCCUGCUGUUCACCCGAGAGCUCGGGCAGAGGUUCAAGCUGAAGGUUCUGGCUGAAGUGGUGCUCAAGAAGCCCAUUCAGACGCAGGAGCGGCUCGGACAUGACCCGGUGGAGGACGCCGUGGCGGCGCUGGAGCUGGCUCAGUACUUCAUACAGGAGGGACCUCUUCAGGUUGUAGAGCGCCACCUGGAGGAGCUGUGGGGAAUUUCUCUCGAUAAGGAUUCUGCUGAUUCACCGCCACCUUCAAGCCGAUUCGCCGACGUUCUCCAGGAUCUGGGAAUAUCCGUCUCCUUUUACGGAAAGCGUUUUUCAAACUACGCCCUGCCUCUGUCCUACCAGCACUGGCACCAAACGGACAAACAGGUUGUGUCGUCUUUCCGGAAGCAAACCAAGCCCUCGUUCCUCUCCUUCCUGCAGCUCUCGUCGUUCUCCAGCAGGGAGCGUUGUUCUGAAGACUCUUCUCAUCCGAGUGGUUCCGCCCCCGAGGAGCGCUCCAACCUCGGCGACAUGCGGGUGGUGUUCGCCGGCCCGCUGCCUUUUGGCGCCACGGAAAAAGACGUGCGCAAGCUUUUCCGAUGUUGUGGGGAAGUCCAGAUGGUGAAGAUGCUGAGGACUGCUUUAAGACUUCACGCCAUGGUGGAGUUUGUGCUGCUGGAGUCGGCGGUUCUGGCUGUGAGAUCGCUCGACGGAAUCCACCUGCAAGGACAAGCCAUGAAGGUCCAGAGGCCAGUGAUCGACACACUCCUGGAUCUUGACCUGACUCUGGACGCUUUGACCGAGGACCCCCUGAACUGCCGCCGCCUCUAUGUGGCCAGAUUGAGCAGCAGCAUGGCGAAGAGGAUUGGCUGUUCGACCAGACUGUCGCCAGAAGUCAACGGUCACGUCGGCAGGUCAGCAGCAGUCUCCACCAAGACCUCCAGGCUCACAGAGGAGACGCUCAGGGGAGCCUUCGGACACUUUGGGAGUCUGGACGUGACGCUGUUCUCAGUUGGCGGGAAACUCGAACGACACGCUUUUAUCGAGUUUGGCUGGGCGGAGGAGAAAUGCGCCGCCCUGAGAUCUUCAGAGGACCUGUGGAAGCAGCAGCUCCUGGUCUGCCCGGCCCUGACUCCGCCCCACGUGUUGGUUACCAGGACGACGGCAGAGACAGAGGAGUGCGAAGGAGACGAGUCGUGGACGUCGACACAAUCUCAGGUGAAACUCAACACGCAGUUUUGUCGUAAAGAUCACCAGAUUGUGCAAAGUGCGGCCCGGGGGCCAUAUGUGGACCAAUUUAUGCAUUUUCAUGGCCCUUUUGACGUCAGACUAAAAAUAACUGAUGUGGUUUUUCUGCCGUUUUUGUUCUCUUUUAGUCACCACAACCACUUCAGCAGUAAAUAUAGCAUGCUCUUGUUUCAAAAUACAUUCAAGGAGAACUGAAAAUAUAUUUAGAAAUAAAUUUGUUUUUAAUAUUGAAUAUCUGGUCCAUACUUAUGUUGGUUUAUAUUAAAAUUAGAUGCAAAUGAAAUGAAAUAUUUCAAUAGUUUUCUUUGCAUAUUUACACUUCUUAAUGUCGUGACAUUUAAUCUUUUUAGGUGAACUUGUAUAUACUUACAUUUUCCCGUCAUGUUUUGUAUGCUUGGCGGUCUCUUUUGAUGAUGACCCCUCACAACAGUUACAGUUUCUAAUGUGGCCCACCUCUGGUCUACACAGUGUACUUGUAAGCCUAUCCUUGUGGGGACACAAUAUUAAGGCUCAAUUUAGGGAUGAAAACUUCCAAAUAACUAGCUUAUUCUACUUGGGUUUGAGUCCUGGUUUAGGCUGUCCAUGGAUUUGGGAUGGUUCGGGUGAGGGGCUGGGGAAAGGGUUAUGGCAAUGUCCCCACAAGGAUAGAGAUUUUGCUGGGAAAGCAGAUCUCCUUCUGUGCAGUUCUGUCUUCACCCAGGGUCAAUUGCUUCUCAGGACAUCGACUCCAUGAUCAAGCUGGACAGUCGCUUGAGGAAAGUCUACAAUGCUCUCCCAGAAUGCACCUUGUCUGUUGUCAUGUUUGCCGGAUGCAGCAGCGCGGAAGGCGACGGGACCGGUUUGUGUCUACUGGAGAUCAAGAGGUG